CCCCAGUAACGGCGAGUGAAGCGGCAACAGCUCAAAUUUGAAAUCUGGCCCCAGGCCCGAGUUGUAAUUUGUAGAGGAUGCUUUUGGUGCGGUGCCUUCCGAGUUCCCUGGAACGGGACGCCAUAGAGGGUGAGAGCCCCGUACGGUCGCGCGCUAAGCCUCUGUAAAGCUCCUUCGACGAGUCGAGUAGUUUGGGAAUGCUGCUCAAAAUGGGAGGUAUACGUCUUCUAAAGCUAAAUAUUGGCCAGAGACCGAUAGCGCACAAGUAGAGUGAUCGAAAGAUGAAAAGCACUUUGAAAAGAGGGUUAAACAGUACGUGAAAUUGUUGAAAGGGAAGCGCUCAUGACCAGACUUGGGCCCGGCGAAUCAUCCAGCGUUCUCGCUGGUGCACUUCGCCGGCUCAGGCCAGCAUCAGUUUGCUCCGGGGGACAAAGGCUUCGGGAAUGUGGCUCCCUCGGGAGUGUUAUAGCCCGUUGCGUAAUGCCCUGGGGCGGACUGAGGUACGCGCUCCGCAAGGAUGCUGGCGUAAUGGUCAUCAGCGACCCGUCUUGAAACACGGACCAAGGAGUCGUCUUCGUAUGCGAGUGUUCGGGUGUCAAACCCCUACGCGUAAUGAAAGUGAACGCAGGUGAGAGCUUCGGCGCAUCACCGACCGAUCCUGAUGUUCUCGGAUGGAUUUGAGUAAGAGCAUACGGGGCCGGACCCGAAAGAAGGUGAACUAUGCCUGUAUAGGGUGAAGCCAGAGGAAACUCUGGUGGAGGCUCGCAGCGGUUCUGACGUGCAAAUCGAUCGUCAAAUAUGGGCAUGGG
rnacentral:rRNA from 1 species